rnacentral:rRNA from 1 species
UACGUAGGGUGCGAGCGUUGUCCGGAAUUAUUGGGCGUAAAGAGCUCGUAGGCGGUCUGUCGCGUCGGAUGUGAAAACUCGGGGCUCAACCCCGAGCCUGCAUUCGAUACGGGCAGACUAGAGUUCGGUAGGGGAGACUGGAAUUCCUGGUGUAGCGGUGAAAUGCGCAGAUAUCAGGAGGAACACCGGUGGCGAAGGCGGAUCUCUGGGCCGAUACUGACGCUGAGGAGCGAAAGCGUGGGGAGCGAACAGG